AUUGAACGCUGGCGGCAGGCCUAACACAUGCAAGUCGAGCGGAGCGGCGGACGGGUGCGUAAUGCCUAGGAAUCUGCCUGGUAGCGGGGGAUAACGUCCGGAAACGGGCGCUAAUACCGCAUACUAUUGGAUGCGCCUAUGUCGGAUUAGCUAGUUGGUGGGGUAAAGGCCUACCAAGGCGACGAUCCGUAACUGGUCUGAGAGGAUGAUCAGCCACACUGGAACUGAGACACGGUCCAGACUCCUACGGGAGGCAGCAGUGGGGAAUAUUGGACAAUGGGCGAAAGCCUGAUCCAGCCAUGCCGCGUGUGUGAAGAAGGCCUUCGGGUUGUAAAGCACUUUAAGUUGGGAGGCGUUACCAGCAGAAUAAGCACCGGCUAACUACGUGCCAGCAGCCGCGGUAAUUC
rnacentral:rRNA from 1 species